UCCGGGGUCGUCUAGCGGCAGGACGCCACGCUCUGGACGUGGAAAUCGUAGGUUCGAAUCCUACCCCCGGAGCCA
rnacentral:tRNA from 1 species